GUUUGUUUUCUCCUAUAUUUGAGUGUGAAUUCACAUUACUAUAAGACGUGUCACGGUACUUUUCUAUCCCAAAUUCAUGUAUUUGGUUUUGAUUUUAUAUUGGUUAUUCUCAUCGGAUUUUGUCUAAUGCUUAGUCCGUUGCUGUGUGUGUUACAUUUUAAUGUUGUGUCGUUGUUCUCCUCUAAUAUUUAAUGCGUUUCCCUCAGUUUUAGUUUGUUACCUCGAUUUUUUUUUUUUGUCCAUAGAUUAAUGAGUUUUGAACAGCGGUAUACUACUGUUGCUUUUAUUUGGUCCUCUUUAUCCCACAAAAGAUAAAU
rnacentral:lncRNA from 1 species